CUUUAAUGUUGGUCAAACUUUCAGUCAUAAGUUGUAUAAGUUGGCUCUAAUGUACAGCAUGGUGACUAUAGUUAAUAAUACUGUAUUGUUUACUUAACAUUUGCUGAAAGAGUAGACCUUAGGUACUGUUUGGAAAACUCUGCCCCUACCGCAAAAUCUCUCUCUUUCCCUCCCCCCACAAAGAGGCUCCCUUAUCUCUCACUUUACAUACCGGUCCUAGCCCUCCCGCCGCCCAGCUUCCCGCCGCCCAGCUUCCCACCCAGCAGUUCAAACUGACCAACAGUUGCCCACCACCUCGGCUUUUGGCUUCCCCACCCCCCAGCCCUUCAGCCCCCUAUAAAACAACCCUGCCCCUCUGAGCAGCGCGGCCAUUUUUCCUUUUCGUCCCAGCUGGCCCGCCCGGAGGCUCUUUCCUCUCAAUAAAGCCUGAACUUAAGGAAUUUCCUCUAGCCUGCGGUCCGGUUUCUUUCCCAAUGAGCCCAGUCUUCCCGCAGAGGGUAGGUCGGACAAAUGGUGCCGAAACCCGGGACGGGAGCUGGGGCCGUUGGCCCGGCCACGGCCCCCCUCCCCGACCUACCCAACACUGGCCCUGCCACCUCCACGUUCCGAUUAAGGCUGGAUUGAAGCUUACCCCACAGCCUCUGAGUCUGCCGGGACAGUAGCCACUCAUCUCAUUCAAGACAUCAUCCCACGCUUUGGACUCCCAGCUACCAUACAGUCAGACAACGGCCUAGCCUUUAUCUCCAAAGUCACUAAUGCCGUUUCUACCAGGAAUUCAGUAGAAGCUACAUGCUGCCUACCAUCCCCAGUCCUCUGGUAAGGUAGAACGGGCCAAUGGCCUAAUAAAGGAGCAUCUGACCAAGCUCAUGCUUGAGCUCCGCCAAUCCUGGGUAACCUUACUUCCUAUCGCCCUCACCAGAGUAAGAGCAAGCCCCCGGGGCCCAUCACAGCUUAGCCCAUUUGAGCUGCUGUAUGGUUGCCCCUUCCUGCUUUCAACUCCCCCACCACCAGAGACUACUCCUCUAGACAGCUACCUCCCCUACUUUACUCAGGAUUAGGAGGAGGGGCACUAGUCCACUCUCACCUGGCCAUAGCCCGACUGACCUCACAACUCCAAGCGGCUAUUGAUGACUCUACUGAGUCUUUAGCAUCACUCCAACGACAGAUCACCUCAGUUGCCCAAGUUGCCUUGCAGAACCGAAGAGCCCUGGACCUGCUCACUGCUGAACGAGGAGGGACCUGUAUCUUCCUACAAGAAGAGUGCUGUUACUACAUCAAUGAAUCCGGCCUAGUAGAAACCCGAAUCGAGAGCCUCCAGAAACUCAAAACUAACCUGCAGAGUCAGAAGUUCUCGGCUGAAGCCACGGCGUGGUGGUCUUCCUCUAUGUAUACCCUCUUGUCCCCAUUGCUUGGGCCCCUAGUAGCUGUUUGCCUAAUCUUACUUAUUGCUCCUUGCUUUCUACAGUUCCUAUAGCGGCGCUUUCAAGAACUGACUCGAGUCACCAUCCACCAGAUGCUGCUCCAACCCUACCCUGAACGAGUGCAAGAAACAGACCUCUCCCCGAACAUCCAGGCUCCUUAGGAAAAGAGACCUCUUCAGAACCCCCCGUCGACCCUUGUCAGCAGGAAGUAGCUAGAGAGACAACUGACGCCCCUGACCCCCUCUUUUUCUUUUCUUUAAGGAGUCGGGAAUGUUUGGAAAACUCUGCCCCUACCGCAAAAUCUCUCUCUUUCCCUCCCCCCACAAAGAGGCUCCCUUAUCUCUCACUUUACAUACCGGUCCUAGCCCUCCCGCCGCCCAGCUUCCCGCCGCCCAGUUUCCCACCCAGCAGUUCAAACUGACCAACAGUUGCCCACCACCUCGGCUUUUGGCUUCCCCACCCCCCAGCCCUUCAGCCCCCUAUAAAACAACCCUGCCCCUCUGAGCAGCGCGGCCAUUUUUCCUUUUCGUCCCAGCUGGCCCGCCCGGAGGCUCUUUCCUCUCAAUAAAGCCUGAACUUAAGGAAUUUCCUCUA